rnacentral:rRNA from 1 species
GACGAACGCUGGCGGCGUGCUUAACACAUGCAAGUCGAACGGAAAGGCCCCUUCGGGGGUACUCGAGUGGCGAACAGGUGAGUAACACGUGAGUAACCUGCCCUUGACUUCGGGAUAACUUCAGGAAACUGGGGCUAAUACCGGAUAGGAAUCCUUGCUGCAUGGUGGGGGUUGGAAAGCUUCGGCGGUUUUGGAUGGACUCGCGGCUUAUCAGCUUGUUGGUGGGGUAGUGGCUUACCAAGGCUUUGACGGGUAGCCGGCCUGAGAGGGCGACCGGCCACAUUGGGACUUGGAUACGGCCCAGACUCCUACGGGAGGCAGCAGUGGGGAAUAUUGCACAAUGGGCGGGAGCCUGAUGCAGCAACGCCGCGUGCGGGAUGACGGCCUUCGGGUUGUAAACCGCUUUCAGCAGGGGCGAAGCUUGUGGUGACGGUACCUGCAGAAGAAGCACCGGCUAACUACGUG